rnacentral:lncRNA from 1 species
CGAUGGGGUAAGUACCUUCAUUUUACCUAUUAUUUAUCUAGCGACUUUUUUCUAUUUUUUUUGUUUAUUUAUCACUAAAAUUCAAACGACUGUGAUUGGAGUUUGGACUUUUAUCAUUGAAUUUUCAUGGAAAUUCCAAAUGUGUGCUAUGUGGAUGAUGUGUGACUGCAACUAUCAUAUUUACUAAAGUUUUGCAUUGCACUUUGGUGAAUAUGAACUAGCUUUCUGUAUCU